rnacentral:rRNA from 1 species
CAAUAGCGUAUAUUAAAGUUGUUGCAGUUAAAAAGCUCGUAGUUGGAUUUCUGGUAGGAGUGACCGUUCCGAACUUGAUUGUUCGUGUAUUGUGUUUUCUCCAGCCAUCCUUGUGGAGAACUUUUCUUGCAUUAAUUUGUAGGGAUUGGGACCCGCAUCGUUUACUGUGAAAAAAUUAGAGUGUUUAAAGCAGGCAAUCGCUUGAAUACAUUAGCAUGGAACAAUAAGAUAGGACUUUGGUACUAUUUUGUUGGUUUGCAUACCAAAUUAAUGAUCAACAGGAACAGUUUGAGGAUAUUCGUAUGAACAUGUCAGAGGUGAAAUUCUUGGAUUUUGAUCAGACGAACUACUGCGAAAGCAUUUAUCAAGGAUGUUUUCAUUAA